UACAGGGGGGGCAAGCGUUGUUCGGAAUCACUGGGCGUAAAGGGUGCGUAGGCGGCGCGGAAAGUCAGGGGUGAAAUCCCGGAGCUCAACUCCGGAACUGCCUUUGAUACUCCCGCGCUUGAGAACUGGAGGGGAGACCGGAAUUCACGGGUGGAGCAGUGAAAUGCGUGGAUAUCGUGAGGAACACUAGUGGCGAAGGCGGGUCUCUGGACAGUAUCUGACGCUGAGGCACGAAGGCCAGGGGAGCGAACGGG
rnacentral:rRNA from 1 species